GAAAACGAGACGGGGUGCUGUGUGCAGCUGAGACCGGAGGACCGGAACCCGAAAACCUGAUUUGGGUAAUGCCAACGUAGGAAUCUCAUGAAAGGACAGA
rnacentral:ncRNA from 2 species